GUUAUUCAAAAUUAAAUUGUAGGGAAAUAUAAUACACAAAAAAAAAAUGGCUCUAUACAAUAAAAAACCAAACGUACAUACAAUAUUGCAUAUGAUUUCUAAACAUAUGUAUGCACAUAUAAUUAGAUUCAAAAUAAGGCAUAUUCAAGUAAAACAAAUAUAAAUAACGUUAACAUCCAUCUAUUAAACAAAAAACAAAAAUCAAUGACAAAGGAAUUUAAAUAAAACCGUUUUAUAUAUAUAUAUAUAACACAAAGGACAUCGUUUGGAAACUAUACAUAAUAAAACUAUCGGAUUGGUAUGAAAUCUUUUGCCCUCCAAUUUUGAUAUUUACAAGUAUUAAGAAGGAUUAGCUAAAUAGAUCCAAUGGCACUUGUCCAAUGGCACUUGUAGUACAUAAUGGACGGCAGAAGCACAACAAGGUAUUAAUUAUUAAGGACUUAAGCAUUUCACGUUCUUGAUAGGAGCUGCUUUAACAUAGAAGUCAGCUUCAUUACAACAAAGCCUAUCAAAUGCUAUAACUUACAUUAAUUUCUGAAAAAGUGAGUGACAUUAGAAAAUAAAAUCCAGGAGUCCACAAUUCCGGUUCAGGAAAGUUAAAGCUUGGUUUUGAAUUUAAAUUUCGCGAUCGCUGGCUUAAGUGGAUAUUGAAUUAACAACUGAAAAUCCUAUACACAAUCAUUGAUUAAGUAUAUUUGUUCCCGUAAAAUGUAAAACUGGAUUUGAGGAGUGAAGUAAAUUAUAACCGCAUCAGUAAAAGAAAACGUUGAUCAUAAGUUUGAAUCACUACCACUAAUUUGGAAAAUAUGAACAGAGUGGAAUUAGUUGGUGGGCUGUCAUAUUCUCCAAAUGAAGGACCAAAUUGUAACCAAUCAGUCGCCACACUCAAUCGUCCUAUUACACAAUCAAUGAUUAAGUUUAUUUGUUCUCGUCAAAUGUAAAACUGGGUGUGAGAAGUGAAUAAACCUUUAUCGCAUCUGUGAAAGAAAUCAAGAAAUCGAUGAUCAUAAGUUUGAAACACUACCAGUAAUUUGGAAAAUAUGAACAGAGUGGAAUUAGUUGGUGGGCUGUCAUAUUAUCCAAAUGAAUAACCAAUUUGUAAAUGAUCUUAUAAAAUGUAAAAGGAACUGUGAGGCGUGGAAUUAGUCUGGGAAGUGUCAUAUUAUCCGAAGGAAGGAUAUCAGUUUUAAACCUAUCAAUGAUUUGGGAUUUGGAUUUGGUUUUCCUAAAAUGUUUGUGGAAUUCAAAAAAUCUAUUUUUGGGUUGAACUAUCAAUGGAAUCAUAUGGAUGGCGUCUCUAGAUUAAAACCUAAUAGUUUUGUUAUUAGAAAAAUAUAAGUAAUAUUAAAAGUGCUUCCUUUUGGUUGACGAUUAAUGGUGUCACAGGAAUGAUGUCACUAGGAUGAUUGUAAAGGAUAGGAUAGUGACAUAAGGAUGUUCCCUGUGUGUUUUCUAAUUGUUGCUCAUAAGAACUAUUUGAAACUAUUUAAGUUGAAUAUUAUAAAAUUGAAAUAAGUGUCCAUUUUAUGUAUAUAAAUUUUA